UGGGGAAUAUUGCACAAUGGGCGCAAGCCUGAUGCAGCCAUGCCGCGUGUAUGAAGAAGGCCUUCGGGUUGUAAAGUACUUUCAGCGGGGAGGAAGGCGAUAAGGUUAAUAGCCUUGUCGAUUGACGUUACCCGCAGAAGAAGCACCGGCUAACUCCGUGCCAGCAGCCGCGGUAAUACGGAGGGUGCAAGCGUUAAUCGGAAUUACUGGGCGUAAAGCGCACGCAGGCGGUCUGUCAAGUCGGAUGUGAAAUCCCCGGGCUCAACCUGGGAACUGCAUUCGAAACUGGCAGGCUAGAGUCUUGUAGAGGGGGGUAGAAUUCCAGGUGUAGCGGUGAAAUGCGUAGAGAUCUGGAGGAAUACCGGUGGCGAAGGCGGCCCCCUGGACAAAGACUGACGCUCAGGUGCGAAAGCGUGGGGAGCAAACA
rnacentral:rRNA from 1 species